GACGAACGCUGGCGGCGCGCCUAACACAUGCAAGUCGAACGAGCGAGAGAGAGCUUGCUUUCUCAAGCGAGUGGCGAACGGGUGAGUAACGCGUGAGGAACCUGCCUCAAAGAGGGGGACAACAGUUGGAAACGACUGCUAAUACCGCAUAAGCCCACGACCCGGCAUCGGGUAGAGGGAAAAGGAGCAAUCCGCUUUGAGAUGGCCUCGCGUCCGAUUAGCUAGUUGGUGAGGUAACGGCCCACCAAGGCGACGAUCGGUAGCCGGACUGAGAGGUUGAACGGCCACAUUGGGACUGAGACACGGCCCAGACUCCUACGGGAGGCAGCAGUGGGGAAUAUUGCACAAUGGGGGAAACCCUGAUACAGCGACGCCGCGUGGAGGAAGAAGGUCUUCGGAUUGUAAACUCCUGUUGUUGAGGAAGAUAAUGACGGUACUCAACAAGGAAGUGACGGCUAACUACGUG
rnacentral:rRNA from 1 species